UCUCGCAGAAAAAGUUCGCAACCAUCAAUCUCGCUGGCGGGCAAACCGAUCUAUACGAGGCACGCGAUCUACGCCUCGCUGGACGGGAGAAGCCAUGUCUGGUUCUUGCGAUGCGAGCGAGAGGAUCUCCUCGCGGGGUAACGCCAUGGGGCAGUGACGGGACAGCGAACCGUUGCCCAGCGAUUCAGCCAUCGGUGGUAAGUUACAAUUCGACCUGUGCUCUUCCCCACCUCCAUUGGCAUCCAUAUAGUCUCGACAACUGCGUUCUUCUUCCCCACCUCCACCUUACUUUGGCAGAAGGUGCUCCGAGUUGACGGAUUUGAGGUCAUUUACGAUGGGCCGUCUUGUCCCAUGCCGCUCCUAUGGCAAACUGUCAGGUUAUUGUCCGUGUCAUCAUCUUACUAUGUGUACUCAUCCUGCUGCACAGGGUCAGGGUGUCUACAGUUAGACCGUAUUGUUUUGAUCCAUCACUAGGAUUGGCUUGUUAAUCUUUAUCCCAUUUGGGAAUUUUGUAUGAUGAUGGAUUAUUCUGUCGAGGGGACUGUUCUAGGAAUCCGAUGGCAUAGGGAGCUACUUCUUCUGUUUAUCUUUUUGGACAACGAAUUAACGUGCUUCCAAAGCCUCUAACUGAAGGUAUCCCUUUCAUUAUAUGACAUGCACGGUGAAUUUUGGCAUUGCUUAUUGACUUUGCAUAGGUAAGCAGAAGUAUCACAUGGUCAGCUGGCCUGACAUCUGCAAGCCCAGGGAGCAGGGUGGAUUGGGCAUCAUGUGCUCUAAAUGGAUGAAUAUUGCCCUCCUAUCCUAGUGGCUGUGGUGUAUCACGCAGGGUCAUGGUGGCCUCUGGCUGGACAUUAUCCGGAAUAAGUACCUGCGUGGUCAACCCCUUGCCUUCUGCCAGAAAUCUGGAGGAUCUCAGUUCUGGCAGUCCCUCGUCCAGCUUCUACCGGUGCUCCGCAUUGGUACCUCUAUCUCGGUGGGGUCCGGCCUCUCGACGCUCUUCUAGUUUGAUCGCUGGGCCGGCGACUCUCCCUUUGCGGCCCGCUUCCCCACCCUCUUCUCUAUCUCUGUCGACCCUAUGAUCUCUGUUGAUAGGGCCCUUCUUGACUUAGGGCGCCUUGCUUUCCGUCGGCCCUUUGGGCCGGCGGAAUCCGCCGCCUGGCGUGAGUUGCUUGACUGCGUUGCUCUGCAUGAGCCGUUGGUGGAUGGGGAUCAGGAUCUUGUGCGCUGGCACCUGGAGCCGUCGGGCCAGUUCUCUACCAAAUCGCUAUACUUGGCCAUUGCCCCCUCCUCCGCUCCCCUCCCCCUAUCGAUGGUGUGGUCCGUCCGCAUCCCCCUGAAGAUUCGCAUCUUCAUGUGGCAGUGGAUCCGUGGACGGGUCCCGUCCGGUGUGGAGGUCCGGAAGCGUAAUGGCUCGGGCACUGGUACCUGCCCCCUCUGUGUUGUUCCCGAGGACUCCAACCACAUCUUCUUCGCCUGCGUCUCCGCCCGGUUCCUCUGGAGCUGCUUUCGUGAGAUUGUCGGUGGGAGUUGGUGCCACACCAAUUUCCCGGACUUAUUUGCUGAACUCCAAUUGUCCCCUUCGUCCUCUCGCCACAUUAGGUGGCUGGAGGUUGGGGUCCUUGCCUGGACGCUUUGGACCGUUUGCAAUAAGCUUGUGAUCCAGCGUACCCCUCUUCGUCGCGCUACUGAUGCUCUCUACAAAUUCUCG